AGCUCCAUAGUGGAGUGGUUAGCAUGUCUGCUUUACACGCAGAAUGUACUGGGUUCGUGCCCCAAGUGGAGCCA
rfam:Pteropus alecto contig75253, whole genome shotgun sequence.